rnacentral:rRNA from 1 species
CCUACGUGAGGCAGCAGUGGGGAAUAUUGCACAAUGGGGGAAACCCUGAUGCAGCAACGCCGCGUGAAGGAAGACGGUUUUCGGAUUGUAAACUUCUAUCAAUAGGGAAGAAAGACAUGACGGUCCCUCACUACUAAGCCCCGGCUACCUACGUGCCCGCAGCCGCGGUAAUACGUAGGGGGCAAGCGUUAUCCGGAAUUACUGGGUGUAAAGGGAGAGUAUGCGGCAAGGUAAGCGAUAUGUGAAAGCCUUAAGCUUAACUUAAGGAUGGCAUAACGAACUAUCUAGCUAGAGUACAGGAGAGGAAAGCGGAAUUCCUAGUGUAGCGGUGAAAUGCGUAGAUAUUAGGAAGAACACCAGUGGCGAAGGCGGCUUUCUGGACUGAAACUGACGCUGAGGCUCGAAAGCGUGGGGAGCGAACAGGAUUAGAUACCCCAGUAGUC